UACGUAGGGACCAAGCGUUGUUCGGAUUUAUUGGGCGUAAAGAGCUUGUAGGCGGUCUGUCGCGUCUGCUGUGAAAAUCCGGGGCUCAACCCCGGACUUGCAGUGGGUACGGGCAGACUAGAGUGUGGUAGGGGAGACUGGAAUUCCUGGUGUAGCGGUGAAAUGCGCAGAUAUCAGGAGGAACACCGAUGGCGAAGGCAGGUCUCUGGGCCACUACUGACGCUGAGAAGCGAAAGCAUGGGGAGCGAACAGG
rnacentral:rRNA from 1 species